GGCCACAGCCAUAUCACCCUGCAGCCCAAGACUGGUUGCCCACUGAAGCUAAGCAGGGCUGAGCCUGGUCAGUACCUGGAUGGGAGACCUCCUGGGAAAACUAGGUUGCUGUUGAAA
rnacentral:rRNA from 1 species